rnacentral:rRNA from 3 species
GAAGCUUGCUUCUCUGAUGUUAGCGGCGGACGGGUGAGUAACACGUGGAUAACCUACCUAUAAGACUGGGAUAACUUCGGGAAACCGGAGCUAAUACCGGAUAAUAUUUUGAACCGCAUGGUUCAAAAGUGAAAGACGGUCUUGCUGUCACUUAUAGAUGGAUCCGCGCUGCAUUAGCUAGUUGGUAAGGUAACGGCUUACCAAGGCAACGAUGCAUAGCCGACCUGAGAGGGUGAUCGGCCACACUGGAACUGAGACACGGUCCAGACUCCUACGGGAGGCAGCAGUAGGGAAUCUUCCGCAAUGGGCGAAAGCCUGACGGAGCAACGCCGCGUGAGUGAUGAAGGUCUUCGGAUCGUAAAACUCUGUUAUUAGGGAAGAACAUAUGUGUAAGUAACUGUGCACAUCUUGACGGUACCUAAUCAGAAAGCCACGGCUAACUACGUGCCAGCAGCCGCGGUAAUACGUAGGUGGCAAGCGUUAUCCGGAAUUAUUGGGCGUAAAGCGCGCGUAGGCGGUUUUUUAAGUCUGAUGUGAAAGCCCACGGCUCAACCGUGGAGGGUCAUUGGAAACUGGAAAACUUGAGUGCAGAAGAGGAAAGUGGAAUUCCAUGUGUAGCGGUGAAAUGCGCAGAGAUAUGGAGGAACACCAGUGGCGAAGGCGACUUUCUGGUCUGUAACUGACGCUGAUGUGCGAAAGCGUGGGGAUCAAACAGGAUUAGAUACCCUGGUAGUCCACGCCGUAAACGAUGAGUGCUAAGUGUUAGGGGGUUUCCGCCCCUUAGUGCUGCAGCUAACGCAUUAAGCACUCCGCCUGGGGAGUACGACCGCAAGGUUGAAACUCAAAGGAAUUGACGGGGACCCGCACAAGCGGUGGAGCAUGUGGUUUAAUUCGAAGCAACGCGAAGAACCUUACCAAAUCUUGACAUCCUUUGACAACUCUAGAGAUAGAGCCUUCCCCUUCGGGGGACAAAGUGACAGGUGGUGCAUGGUUGUCGUCAGCUCGUGUCGUGAGAUGUUGGGUUAAGUCCCGCAACGAGCGCAACCCUUAAGCUUAGUUGCCAUCAUUAAGUUGGGCACUCUAAGUUGACUGCCGGUGACAAACCGGAGGAAGGUGGGGAUGACGUCAAAUCAUCAUGCCCCUUAUGAUUUGGGCUACACACGUGCUACAAUGGACAAUACAAAGGGCAGCGAAACCGCGAGGUCAAGCAAAUCCCAUAAAGUUGUUCUCAGUUCGGAUUGUAGUCUGCAACUCGACUACAUGAAGCUGGAAUCGCUAGUAAUCGUAGAUCAGCAUGCUACGGUGAAUACGUUCCCGGGUCUUGUACACACCGCCCGUCACACCACGAGAGUUUGUAACACCCGAAGCCGGUGGAGUAACCUUUUAGGAGCUAGCCGUCGAAGGUGGGACAAAUGAUUGGGGUGAAGUCGUAACAAGGUAGCCGUAUCGGAAGGUGCGGCUGGAUCACCU